rnacentral:lncRNA from 1 species
CCGCUCCACUUCACUUUGACUUCCCAAAUAUAUAACUUCACGGACAAAAAAAAAAAAAACUUAUCUUCUCCAACUUGAUUAAGUAAGUCAUUCCUCGUCAUUUUCUCUAUUAUCAUUCAUCAAACACUAUUUUAAAUUAUUCUCUUCAUUCUACUUUUUCGUGUGACCUAAAGAUAAUUUUUCAUUUAAUCCUUCUAUUUCCACCUUGUCUCUAAUUUUAGGAUUUGUCCUUUUGAAGCUUUGAACUCUUACAAGCACUUCGCGAGAUGAUAGAGCUUGUGUGCUAGCUUUUUCAAAUGAAUUUGUUAUACAUAACCAAGCUCUGAUAUCAUGUUGAGAAUCAUGAUUGAAUUCAAGAAAAAGAUUAAUAAUUAAAAAAUAAAUAAAACUUAAAAUAAAUAUAUAAAAAAAUAUUAUACAAUUCAAGUAAAGUAUAACUUAACAAAUUCUACCUAAAAUAUCUUUUAACUAUCUCUAUUAAAAUUUAUUAUAAAACUAAACCAUAUAACAAAUCAAGUAAAUGAAGCAUUUUCAACACGUUUAAAGUUAUAUGAAACCUCAAAAGUCACCUUUUUACAUAAUUAUAUUGCUAUCGGAUAUUGCACCAAAAACUUUAGGAUUCACAAGCAUGUUUCACCAAAUCAGGAGCAAUCACAAAAAUCAUAACUAAAUAUAUAAAAAUUUAAAAGAUAUAACAUGAUAUAGUGAAACAACAUUAACCAUGAAGAGAAAAAUCUUUUAGAUUGUUAGAAAAUGUUGUCCUUCAAUUAUACAAGUCAUGAAUUAUAUUCACUUAUUUUACAAGCUACGAAUAAUCACGAACAUCGUGAAUAGGAAUAGGAAUAGACUAAGUUAUCUGUCAGGGACCUAUGAAUCUAACUUGACCUGACCUAUUUAAUAAAAAUGUUAGGCUCAGACUAUUUUUAAAGCCUAUUUAUUUAAAUAGGUCAGACUCAAACUUAUAAAAAAAAGUCUAUUAGGCCUGACAUGCCAGCCUAUAUAUAUUUUAUUAUUUAUUAAUAUUAUUAUUAAUUAUUAAAUUAAUAAUCUUAUUUUCUAUUUUAAAUUCUAUCAAUUAGACAAUCACAUAGUAAUCAUUCCAUAUUCAGUAAUCGUUCCAUAUUCGUUAGCGAUUUCAUUUUUUUGUAGUAGUUCCAUAUUCGGUAGUGUUCAAUUAGUCAAUCACUCAAUAGUCGUUCUAUAUUUGUUUAAGAGGUAAUAAUGGGUGUGUUUCUUUCAGAAGAAAAAAAAAUCUAUUAUUUGAAACCAAAAAUUAUUUUUUAGGGUUUAAAUUAUUUUAUUUCAGAUUUUUUUUAAAUUAUUUUGUUAAAAAAAAUAUUUUUGUUUAAUAUAUAUAGAUAUGUAUAUUGAAAUUGGUAUAUGGAGAGCAUCAUGUGGUAUGAGUAGAGCAUUUAAAUGUUUUAAUGUGAAUAACGCUUUUAAAUAGGCUUCUAGGUCAGGCUAGACUUUUAAAAAUGUCAGACCAGACCGAAAAAAAGCCUAUAAUAGGCUGUAGGCCAGACAUAUGCCUAAAAAAUAAAUCGUAGGUCAGGCUUAUAUAUAUAUAUAUAUAUAUAUAUAUAUAUAUAUUCAAAUCUCAUCUUUCGUAUUUUCUAUUACUUUUUUUAUCAUUGGCUCUGAGAGCUGAGCUAGCUAGCUUCCUUAAAUCAAUAUAGACAUUAUGCAAGCACAAGAUAAAAAAAAAAUAACAAUUAUUUUUUAUUAUAAAAGAAAUUAAAUGAGUUAAUCAACAAUCUUAAUUAGUGUAAUUUUUCUUACUUAUAUUUGAGAUUUGAUAAAAACAGAAAUUAUUUAUGUACCACUUAAUAUUAUAUAAUACUCCAAUUUGUUUUCAAACGGCUAAAAUAUAAUAUUAAAUUUUUAGUUCCUAUAAAAUCUUAUCAAUUUAUUUUUAAUCUUUAUAAAAAAAGUGUCAGUUUUUAGUCUAAAAAAUUUUUACUUUUGUUUUUAGUCCUUGAUUUUAAAUCAAUUAUUAUGUAUCAUUUAAAUUUUUGAAUUAUUUGUUGCAAUAAUAUUUAAGAUAUGUUUAGCAACUUUCUGAUAAAAAUUUAGAAUUUUUUAACAAAUGACAAAUUAAAUAUAAAUUUUUAACCUUUUAACUUUUAAAUUUUUAUAUUUAAUUUAUCAUUUGUUAAAAUUCUAAAUUUUUUAGGAGAAAUUUCUUAUAAUAUCUUAAAUAUCACCGCAAAAAAUCAUUCAAAUAUUUAUAAAAUACACAAGAGUUGAUUCAAAAUCAAAGACAAAAAAUAUAAACGAAAAUUUUUAAAGGAUAAAAAGUAAAAAAAAAAAAAAUUAGUAACCAAAAAAAUAUAGUAAAAUUUGAUAAAGACUAAAACUUCUAUUAAAAAUUAGAAAUAUAAGAAGAGCAAAGAAUCGUCCAAAAGUUAUAUAUAUGCAUAGUUCUCAAUCUUGUGCUUUCAAGGAAAAAUCAAUGAAGAUUAAACAUUAAUUACUUUUUUAAAAAUAUCUAAAUUUAAUAAGCAAAUAUUUUAUAAUGAUAAAAUAAAUCUUAUCUAUAUUUUAUAAUGACAAAAUAAAUCUUAUCUAUAUUUUAUAAUGACAAAAUAGUUUUGGUGAAGAUGAUUGUGAAAUCGUUUUCUAAUAUCAGGAUCUUUCAUGUCAUACACGCAUAAAGAGCCAAAUCCUGGUAAACUGAUCACUUCAACAAAACGACAGCUUCAAAAGAAAUAGAAAAACAAUAUAAAUAUUUUGUGAUAUUUAAUAAUUUACAAAAGAGAAACGUGAAAAGUUUGUUAUGAUUUUCACCUAGAUGUGAGAUUGUGAUAUUUACCUUAGAGUCUAACGGUAUAUAUAAAUAAUAAAUUAAUUUUAUAUUUACGUUCAAUAAAAUUUCUGCUUUUCUAAAUUAUCCGCAUGUAUAAAAAACCAUUAAUUGUAAGAAUACAAAUAUAAAAAUGGAGUAAUUUGAAAGAAAAAAAAACUAAUUUUUUAUUAGAAGUUAGUAUAAAACUAAUUUAUAAUUUUAGUGCAUAUUUAUUUGUUAAUUUUUUUCAUUUAUCAUAUCUACAAGUGAAGUGAGAUUGAAAACAUUAAUAAAGUAUUAAUAGAUAUCCAUCAAUUCAUCUGAUAUUCUAGUCUCUUAUAAAUUUUAUUGGCCAACAGAUGUGAAUACCGUUAAAUUUAAAUUAAAGAAAAUUAUUUCAGUUGAUUAGUAUAAUAAUCUCCCCAUUAUUGUUGUAUUAUGUCGUCAUUGUAAAGAUUCAUUCACAUCAAUCAGGGUUAAGGACGAACUUAUGCAUAAUUGUGUGUGGACAAUGAGCUACACUUGAAUUUGAAAAAAACAUUACUAAAUAGAAUUUGGAGAUAUUUUAGUAAUAAUUUAGUAUUUUAGAUAUUUAAAAUUUUUGAGCCCAUACCCAGUCGAUGUUCACUUUGUACCUACCUUUAGUAACCACUACAUUUAUUUAUGGAAUUUGAGGUCGAAAAUUUCUUGAGACAACUCAACAGAAGCACAACUAUACUCAAAUAAUUGAAAAACAACAAAACCCUUAUCCAUGUAGGACCUAAUUUUGAUUUUGAAACUUCCGUACAAAACUACAAAUUAAGAGUUGUACCUCCCCCCCAAAGUGAACUUGAAGCAAUUGCUCUAAACACGUGGGCCAGGUCAAUCAGUGUUUUCAAGAUUAUGCUACUUGGUUGGAAUUGACCACUUUUUUGUAUUAUUAAAUAUUCUAAUAUUUAGAGUUAGCAAUAAUUGAAAAUAAUUGUUGUAGGUGUUUUCUAUUUAGAAAAUUGUUGUAGGUGUUGAGCAUAAGCCUUUCUAUGAUAUGUGUAACUACCUCAACCACAAAUAAAAUGUGAUUUUUUUUGGUACAAAAAUGAAAUGUGAGUUAUUCGUAACUAAAAGGGAAGUUUCUCUUUUCCAUUUUUGACUUAUAUUUCAAAAGUAUCCAUUUAAAAGAAUUGUAGUUUUUUUGUUCUUUAUAUAUAUAUAUAUAUAUAUAUACUUUUAAAUAAAAAUAUAAUUUUUUGUCCUUCAAAUAUGUAUUACUAAACAAAACUGUAGUGUUUAUUUUUCUUUUUUAAAUAUUGAUGAAAUAAAAGUAGGAAAAUUAAAAGAAGUUUCUAUAACACAAAUAUCUUUUAAAAAAUUUAAAUUUGUGCUCCAAAAAAAAAAAAUUAAAUUUUCUUAACACAUUUGUGUUUCGAAAUACUUAAAAUAGUUUUUCAUAACACAAAUCUAUAUCGAAAAUUUUAAUUUUAAAUUUUUGAAACACAAACAUGUUUUGAAUAAUUUACAAUUUGAAUAUAAUUAAAAAAAAAAUUGAGUUUUUAUUAACAAGUUGGGGUGCGGGUAUAAUUUGGUGGAAAUAAAGUAAAUUUUUCAAUUUUGCUACUCACACCCUCAUUUUUGCUACUCACACCCCUCAAUUUUUUAUAAAAUUAAAAUACCUAAAAUACCCUUGUCUAUUCAUAAUAUUUCUAAUCAUAAUCUCUCAUUUUAUCUUCAUCUUCAACCCUAACCACUCUUUCUUAUUGUUGGGUGACUUUAACCACAACAUGAAGAUAAGACUUAUGGGGUGUACGUUAUUAGCGAUUGAUGUGAAUUUUGAAUGGCUAUCAGGUAUGAUGGGUGAGUUUUGGAUGAGUUGUGAUAUGUGAAUUAUGACGUUAUGAAUGGUGAAGAAGAUGUGUUUUAAAAAUGUUAUAAAUAAGCAAGGGCAUCUAAGGUAUUUUGAUUUUUAAAAAAAAAAGUUGAAGGGAGUGGGUAGCAAAAAUAGGGGUGUGGAUAGCAAUAUUGAAUUUUUUUUUUUAAAAGCAGCUCUUACUAAAAGAUGUUUUCGAAGUGGAGGCAGCUUUGAGAAAAAGUAGAAAAUUUUAUCAUGUAUACCCUCAUUUAUCCUUGUACUCCAAAAUAUAAAGAAAAAUACCAAAAUACCCUCAUAUAUAUUAAAAGUUGUCAUUUUUUUUCAUUUCAACAAUUUUGGAACAUAAGUGAGUGUCAAUUUUUUUUUUGCGGAAUUUUUUUUUCAAGUUUCCCAGUAUACAACUUCAACUCCGGAAAACUUAAAAAAAAAGUUUUCCGAUACAAAAUAUCAUUUUCAGAACUACUAGAAAACUUAUUUCAAAUUUUCCGGAACAAUUACACUACCAGAAAACUUCAAUGUGACAUUUCGAAAAUCUACCGGAAAACUUCACCCACAAAUUUUUCGGUAGUUUGAUUUCGUUUUAUAAUAUUUUUUAAAUUAAAGUUUUCGUCCUAAUUUUUUAUUCCAUUACUAUUUAUUUAAUUCAUUUUAAUUUAACUAUUUUUUUUUUCAAUGGGUAGGGCGAGAGGUAGAGACGGUAAUAUCGCGGUCUAAAAUUUCGAGUUUUCCUCGAAAUCAAUGGAGUCACCACCAAAAUUUGUUUAGGUAAAAUAUUGGGAAAAACCCUUAAACAUAGUAAAAUAAAAAAAAUGGUCUUUAAAAUCAAAUUUUGAGUUCGGGAGUCGAUUAUGCGUAGGGAAGGUAUUAGCAUCCUACGACAUCCGUUUUCAAUACGGUUACCUAUAAUUAAUUGUGCAAAACUAAUAUGAACUUAAAUAUAUUUAUUUUUACUUAUUAUUAAAUAUGAAUAUCAAUUUUUUUUAACGCAAUUUUGAAGUAAAAGUAGGAUUAAAAAAGAUUUUUAUUAAUCUGCUUGACAAGAGUGUGAUCUUGCUCCUACGUAUCUCCCGAUAAGAUGGAUAAAUCAAAGCUACGUAGUUCUUGUUAGAAAAUGCGGGUGUUGAUUGCUUUUAAAUAAAUUGUGUUUUGUUACUAAAAAAAGUUAAUUUUGACGAAAAUAAAAAUGAGUUUGCUUGAUUUGAAUAAUUAUUUUAAAAUGUGAGUUUUAAGACGAUCAAGUCGUACAACUCGUGUCUCAAAACUAAAGGAGUAAAAAAGAUGUCACAUCUAACUUAAUCCUCUUAAGAAUAUUUUAUAUUAUUUUUGAUUUUUUUAAAAUAGAGUUUCAAAACCACCAAGUAGUACAACUUGUGUCUUAACAACUCAAAGAAAAUGUCACAUCUAAAUAAUUAAAUUUUAAAAAGUUGAUUUUAGAUUUAUUUUUUUAUAAUAAUAAAUUUUAAAGCUAUCAAAAUGUAUAAUUUGUAUUCUGCAACUCAAGGAUUAAAAGAUGUCAUUUUUUGUUAACUUUUAAUAAUUUUAAUUUAUUAAUUUGUUUAUGAAUUUUAAUUUAUUAAUUUAUCUGUGAAUAUGAGAUUUAGAACCAUCAAGUUGUCACUACUUGUAUCAUAAUAACUUAAAGAUUAAAAAUAUGCCACAUCUAGUUAAUUUUCAUUGAAAUAUUUGUUUUUUUUUUUUUAUGAAACUUGAUAUUUAGUUAAGAAGCAAAUUACAUUUUUGAAAAAAAAAAUAAUAAGAGAAAAAAAAUACUAAAUGAGCUGAGAUGGCGGUUUUUUUGUUUUUAUCUAGAGUCCAACCGAAUACAACAAAACAAAAAAUUAAAAAGGGCUGGUAUCACUGAACCCCUAAUAGAAGCUUACAAACCACACAGGUGGGCAGUGGCUAGGUUAAUAGAGAAACCAUCAACGGUUUCAAUAGAGAAACCACAUGCUUGUUUUCGACGCGGACUUCAUCGUCGAGACGGUGAACAAGAAGCUGAAGAUCAUAACAAAUGUCGAGAACAAGAACGACAUUAGACUGAGCCCACUGGAUAAAGCCGACAGGGAAGGAAGAGGAGUCAAGAGUGCGAACGGAGUGACCAAAAAGCAUGGUCGGCGUCCCGACGACGACAACGACAUCCAAGGUUUGAGUUCUUAAUUUCAUAUUUUUUCUAUUCUUUUCUUCAUAAUCUAUUUUUGUUUAUACCCUCACAGAUCUGAAUGUUUCAUUUGUAUAACGAUAGAGUUUUUACUUUUUUUCAUUCAUAACUCAUUUUGUAUAUUACAUUUGGAUAACAAAUAGACUAUAGAAUAAAGAUGAAAGAAAUACCUUAAUCCUUCUUCUGUUUGCUUUUGUCUCCUAAUACUCUUCUUAUUUUUCUUGUUCUUAUUUUUAAGUGUUUUU